UACGAAGGGGCUAGCGUUGUUCGGAAUCACUGGGCGUAAAGGGCGCGUAGGCGGCUUUAUAAGUCGGGGGUGAAAGCCUGUGGCUCAACCACAGAAUUGCCUUCGAUACUGUAGAGCUUGAGACCGGGAAGAGGUAAGUGGAACUGCGAGUGUAGAGGUGAAAUUCGUAGAUAUUCGCAAGAACACCAGUGGCGAAGGCGGCCUCACUGGCCCGAUACUGACGCUGAGGCACGAAAGCGUGGGGAAGCAAACAGGG
rnacentral:rRNA from 1 species